rnacentral:rRNA from 1 species
GUAACACGUAGUCAACCUGCCCUGGAGACAUGGAAAACCCCGGGAAACUGGGAUUAAUCCGUGAUAGGUCACCUCAUCUGGAAGGAGAGAUGGCUUAAAGGGGUGCGAGAGCUUCUUUCUUGCAUUCGCUCCAGGAUGGGACUGCGGCCGAUCAGGCUGUUGGCGGUGUAAUGGACCACCAAACCUGUAACCGGUACGGGCCUUGAGAGAGGGGGCCCGGAGAUGGACACUGAGAGAAGGGUCCAGGUCCUACGGGGCGCAGCAGGCGCGAAACCUUCGCAAUGCGCGAAAGCGUGACGAGGUUAAUCCGAGUGGUCCCCGCUGAGGGGAUCUUUUGUUGGCUGUAAAAAGGCCGAUGAAUAAGGGGAGGGCAAGUCUGGUGUCAGCCGCCGCGGUAAUACCAGCUCCUCGAGUGGUCGGGGCGAUUAUUGGGCCUAAAGCAUCCGUAACCGGUUCUGUUCGACCUAAGUCAAAUCCA